AGUCGAGGGGCAGCAUGACCUAGCAAUAGGUUGAUGGCGACCGGCGCACGGGUGAGUAACACGUAUCCAACCUGCCGAUUAUUCCGGGAUAGCCUUUCGAAAGAAAGAUUAAUACUGGAUAGCAUAACGAGAAGGCAUCUUCUUGUUAUUAAAGAAUUUCGAUAAUCGAUGGGGAUGCGUUCCAUUAGUUUGUUGGCGGGGUAACGGCCCACCAAGACAUCGAUGGAUAGGGGUUCUGAGAGGAAGGUCCCCCACAUUGGAACUGAGACACGGUCCAAACUCCUACGGGAGGCAGCAGUGAGGAAUAUUGGUCAAUGGACGAGAGUCUGAACCAGCCAAGUAGCGUGAAGGAUGACUGCCCUAUGGGUUGUAAACUUCUUUUAUAUGGGAAUAAAGUGAGCCACGUGUGGCUUUUUGUAUGUACCAUACGAAUAAGGAUCGGCUAACUCCGUGCCAGCAGCCGCGGUAAUACGGAGGAUCCGAGCGUUAUCCGGAUUUAUUGGGUUUAAAGGGAGCGUAGGCGGAUUAUUAAGUCAGUUGUGAAAGUUUGCGGCUCAACCGUAAAAUUGCAGUUGAUACUGGUAGUCUUGAGUGCAGCAGAGGUAGGCGGAAUUCGUGGUGUAGCGGUGAAAUGCUUAGAUAUCACGAAGAACUCCGAUUGCGAAGGCAGCUUACUGGACUGUAACUGACGCUGAUGCUCGAAAGUGUGGGUAUCAAACAGGAUUAGAUACCCUGGUAGUCCACACAGUAAACGAUGAAUACUCGCUGUUUG
rnacentral:rRNA from 1 species